AUUUGUCUAACCAUUCUAUCUGAUUAUUAGACCGACUUCUAUCUGUAGACAAAACUGUUAAAAAUGACAAUGAACAAGAGAAAGAGUGUGAGCACUAAUUUGAAAAUAGAGUUCAUCGGUAGUGUUGCACGAUUUACCAGUACUAAAAAGGUAUUGUGAUAUACACCGCUUUUAAAAAUUAUACGAUUCCAAAUUUUUUUUUUAUUACCGUUACAUUAAGAAUGAAAGCAUUUUAAUAAGAGCUGUAUUUCCUUAUUUGCUUCGAUGUGUGACAACAGGACAGUAUGUGUUAAGUGAUCUGCUUCCCUGCAUGAACACUGGCCAUGCCAAACUCUAUAUAUAAGCAUAGCGCAGCACUGCUUAAAGUUAUCAACAUUUUAGGAGUGAAUAAGAAACAUGCAUGAAUGAGAAAAUAAAGCAUGGGACGUGCUUGAUUUUUAAACGUGUUAAGGGCAAUGGACCUUUUUCAUAUUUCCAGGCUUCUCAGCAGCGGAAAUCAUCAUAGUUGGGUUAACUUGAAGAGAGUCGUGAAUGGGAGAGUACCACAAAUAUAUAUUUUGCACUUCCAUUUGUUCAAAUAGCAAAAUAAAAACUUGGAAUAACUUUCAAUAAAAGGAUUUUUUUUUUUUAGAUCAGACAAUGGCAGUCAGAAGACAGAACAAUGUCAAAUUUACCAACCCUCCCAUAGACGCUGCAUUAGAAAAACCUUGCGUUAGCGUUAACAGUUUUUUUUUUAUUUGAUGCAACGGUGAUAUAAUACAAAGUUCACUUAUAUUAAAUAUGAAUAUUAAAUAUUAACAGCAGCAUUCCGGGUCUGAUCCCUGCCAAAACAAAAAGUCUUUUUUUCCCUUUCACAACAAAAAAAUCAGAGGCCACAGUGGCAUUCUAGCAACAUUAGAGGCUAAACUCUGGAGCUAGAGCUCACGGGGAGGCUGUGUGUGCUUCUACUUGUUUUCUAGGCAGGUGACAAGGAAGUGUGUUACACAACUGGAAACCAGUUCUCCAAACUGUGGUAAAAUAUAGGCCAUGACGCAGAGUCGUCAGCUGUCGAUUAAAAGCCAGUUGUGUGAAAUGAGCUCUUUGAGUGUGUUGAAUGGGGUGGUUGCUGGUCCUGUGUCUUUAUAGGACCCCCUGGAGAGUUCAAACAGAGUGCUUCGAUCACGCUGAUCUUUUGCAACACGAUUAAAGGCCUGAAACUAUUGGCCAGCUCUCUGAGUCUUUCUGUUCUUUUUUUAGACUCUGCAGGGAUGCUCCUCUUGUUGGCUAAGCUAUCAACAGGCUCCAUUGAACUAUUUGAGGUUUAUGAAGCUCCUCUUCAAAAACUAUUCACAGGCCACCUGUAGAUUCCUUCACCCACAGAUGGAGGUUUUCAUGCCUGACCAGCUGCUCUGAGGAGUUUCCAUGGCUUUCAGAAGAUUUGCUCAGCCCACUGCUGGGAACAAUCAAUGACUGUGCUGGAAUUCUUGAUUGCAUAUGCAAAUAAAGAGUCAUGUGUCUACUUGUUGGUUCUGCAGCUUCGAGCCUCCAGCUGCAGUCCAUGUGAUGACAAAAUGCAUGGAAAUGCAUUUUCUUGGAUGAAACACAUGGUGUCAACAGGAAGUUUACUGGGUCCCACAGGUUUCAGAUGAGCAUCGGCCCAUUUUAUUGGUUACAAAAGAUGUGAGCAGUGAAAAAUCAAGUCAGCAACAGUUACUCCCUAUACACUCCUUGUUCUUGUUCAUAUUGUUAUUAUUGAAUGAAAUGUUUAGCUGUUGCAUGAGCUCAUGGGAAAAAUAGGCGUUUCUCCAGGAAAUGGAGGUUCUUUUGUGUGCUAGUCAGUCUUUACUGAACAAGAGGGAAAUGGAGACCCUUAACUCCACACCACACCACAGUCCAUCUGCUUCAUCUUAACCUUUCCAUCACAGCUUUUUGCCAAUGAUUACUGACAGCUGCCAAAGGCCAAGCUCAUCUAGUAGCCUGUGUGGAGGUCAGGCAGCAGUGUGAAGACCUCUGAAAGAUGUCAUGGUAAAAGUUCAAUGAAAAGAUUGUUGGUAACAGGUUGAUCAACAUGAUUGACAUGCUUGGCUGUUAUACAGGAGAGAGCUGCAAACCAGAGAAGUUCACAAGUCUUUCACUUGUAGUCUGAGUCAAAUCUGAAGUCUUUAUUACUGGAGUCUGAGUCGAGACUCUUUGGUCAAAUCUUUGGUCACAAGUCCGAGUCGAGUCUCAAGUCAUUUAAUGGCUUGCUAAAAAGACCCCAUUCAGAAUCCUCGUACUGAAAUCUUCCAUAUUUGCAAAGCUGCUUUAUAGGUUAUAGACAAAAUAUAUGAUCUGUGAUCUGCUUUGUAAAAAAAAAAAAAAAAAAAAAAAA